CCCCUAGAUGUCCUGGGCCGCACGCGCAAUACAAUGUAAAGUUCAGAAAGCAUAUCCUGUUCCGGAAGGCAAUGGGCAAUCUUUUCAAUAUUUUACGUGUUAGGGAUCGAUCUUUGCAAUUAUAGAUCUUGAACGAGGAAUACCUAGUAAGUGCAGCUCAUCAGGCUGUACUGAUUACGUCCCUGCCCUUUGUACACACCGCCCGUCGCUCCUACCGAUUUCGAGUGGUCCGGUGAAUCUUUUGGAAUUAGAGUGCAAACUCAAACUAAGAUCGAUAAACCUUAUCACUUAGAGGAAGGAGAAGUCGUAACA
rnacentral:rRNA from 1 species